CUAAGUAUGACAAAGAGUUGUUGUUUUAAAGUGUAAUGAGAUUUUUAUCAUUGGCAUGGGCCCAUUGCUGCAGAAGAAGGGCAAAAUUAUUAAUAAUGACAGAAAAGUUCAAUAAAUAUUUCUGGUUUGCAUUUUGAGGGAAGGAGGAGGAUAUACUUGUAUCACUUGAGAAAGACAAAGUACUUCAUGCUGCAGCUGCAAUCAAGAGCAACUCAAAGGAUAACAACAGGAACUCGCUGAAAGCACCCUGGGACAUGGUUGACAUGCUGCUGCUAAUUUUAAUACAUCUCUGAAGACUGAUAAUAUCAUACCAAUAUCCAUCAUGCAGCGUUUUCAGAAGCAAAAAAAGGAGCCCAUGACGUUUCUACAGCUUCCUGAGGAUGUGUUUUAUAGAGAGGAAUGUGGGGAGGGAUGGAGAGCAGACACACAAAUGGACACAUUUACUCCCCAACUCCUCUAACCCGACCCACAGCAUCAAGAACAAGAAAAACAGUAAUAAAAGGAUUAUCAUAGAAAUCUGAGCAUCUUCCAGCAAAGCAUCCCCAAAAUCUGGUUGUCAACAACAAUCCUGCUUUCUAGGAAGGGGAGGAAGAAAUGAGAGUUAUGAUAUAUGGUGAUAGGGCCAAGAUCACACCUUGCUCAUCCCUCCUGCUGUUUAGACAGGUUAAUUUUGAAGGAAUGGCCCAUUGAUUAGCAGUGCUCUUUUGAAACUGUGACAAAUGGCACUAAGAUCGUUUUUUAAUGGCCUAAGAAGUCAGAUAACUUAUCCAUUGGCAAAGGAGAGCCACUGAUGACUUGAAGAGAGUGCAAAUCUCCAGGUUUGGCUCCUGAGCACAGCGAGUAGCACAGUAACACA
rnacentral:lncRNA from 1 species